rnacentral:lncRNA from 1 species
GGCAUGCUCUCUUCAGUGGUCUCAUCCCCUUCUGAUAGGAGAGCAAUAAUUUGUCUUCACAGAUAUAUCAACUUAAAUCACCUAUUUUUUUUGUAGCCCUUCCAUAAACUCAUGCGGAAAGGACUUUCCUCACCUGUCAAAACAGAUGUUUUACUUCCAGGCUUUCAAAUGAAAAGUAAUUAGUUAUAAAAAUGCACAGUAAUUACUUAAAGUUGGUGUGUCCAUGUCUUGGAAAAACAAGGACCCCCAGGAGCAAACUUUUCCCCUUUUUCUGACUCAUUCGUGAUGACUCAGGUUUGGUCACUCUGGUCAGAAACUAGAAAAUAUUUGCAAGAGAAAAAAGGGUGCAUGAGAUACUAAAAAUUUUGAAAAAAAAAAAGAAGUUAAUCUUGCUGCUGACUUUUCCUAAUAUUUUGCAAAAAAAUGCUCAGUUUGGGAAUAGUUCUAUUAACAUGUUAACCAUAAAAUGGAUCAGAAACCAUGAUAUUUACUUUGCAGAAAAUACAAGGUUUGUAUGAUGUGCCCUGGUGCAUUUUUAUAGAAGUGGGUUUUAACAUGAUAAACUCUCAGAAUUGGACUGAGGAAUUAGAACCAGAUACCACAUUCUUAUAAACUGUUUCUCUUUCUGUUAGGAAUGUAUCUAUAAAGACUGGCCUUGGCACCUCUGGUAAGAAUGAGCUAGUGAUAAACCUCAUGUGUGAUGAUGGCUUCUUUCAAAGAGAAGCACCGGGAUUUGAAAGCCAUUGGUGGGGAGCAUCGUGACCCUGUCCUUCUGGAAAUCCUCACCUUGACUGCAGAGGACCUGGCUGUUGCUGUCUUAGGAAUCAGUUGGGCUUGUGCUAGUUGACAUAUCUAACAUUUCUUUGUCUUUCUCUUUUCUUAAGGAUAAUCUUUCUACACUUCACAAUGUUCAGAUUCUCCAGAGUUCUAGACUUGACCCACCGUUCAUCCUAAUCCUCUGGACUUCUAACCAGAUCCCUUCUCUCCCUGAGCCUUCAUUAUCAGCCCUCAUAGACUCCCUAGCUCAUGGUAGAGCCAUGUCAGAUUCCCACUGAAUGGUUCUAGCCAAUGGACCUCAGACACUUAGAUUCCUCCUCACAAAGCUAAUCUCUUGUCACUUUUCUUUUAUGAAAGAUCAAUCACCUACUCCAGAAACUCCUAAAAGGAAACAAAAUACAAAUAACAUAAACAAGAGUCAGCAGUGUUUUUUUCCAAAUCAAUUUAUGCCUGUUGUAUUUUCUAUUUAAUAUUAUAAAGCAUUAAAUAAUAUAAAAGCCAAAGAAAUAUAAGAAUGAAAAGAAAAACAUCUAUUUUAUGAGAAUUAAUAAACAUUUGGGUAGAAUCUAUAAAAGAGAGUACUAUAUAAUAAAGUAUAAGGAAGAUGUCAUAAAAUUAGAAGAUAUCAAAAUAUUCAUAAAUAUACAGAGCAGUUUAUUAUUAUGCUUCUCACCAGUUGUCUGUAUCUUUUUAUUCCAUUAAAAAAUGGAAACUGGGGCUGAUGAGAUGGCUCAGUGGAUAGGAGCACCGACUGCUCUUCCGAAGGUCCUGAGUUCAAAUCCCAGCCACCAUAUGGUGACUCACAACCACCCAUAAUGAGAUCUGACACCUUCUUCUGGUGCAUCUGAAGACAGCUACCAUGUACUUAUAUAUAAUAAUAAAUAAAUCUUUAAAAAAAUGGAA